rnacentral:rRNA from 1 species
GACGUAGGGCGCGAGCGUUGUCCGGAUUUAUUGGGCGUAAAGAGCUCGUAGGCGGCUCGUUGCGUCAACCGUGAAAGCCCGGGGCUUAACUUCGGGCUUGCGGUUGAUACGGGCGGGCUGGAGUUCGGUAGAGGAGAGUGGAAUUCCUGGUGUAGCGGUGAAAUGCGCAGAUAUCAGGAGGAACACCGGUGGCGAAGGCGGGUCUCUGGGCCGAUACUGACGCUGAGGAGCGAAAGCGUGGGGAGCGAACAGG